rnacentral:rRNA from 1 species
CCUACGGGUGGCAGCAGUGAGGAAUAUUGGUCAAUGGCCGUAAGCCUGAACCAGCCAAGUCGCGUGAAGGAAGACGGAUCUAUGGUUUGUAAACCUCUUUUAUCGGGGAAUAAAGGUAUCCACGUGUGGCUAUUUGCAUGUACCCUAUGAAUAAGCAUCGGCUAACUCCGUGCCAGCAGCCGCGGUAAUGCGGAGGAUGCGAGCGUUAUCCGGAUUUAUUUGGUUUAAAGGGUGGGUAGGUUGUUUUUUAAGUCAGCGGUGAAAGUUUGUGGCUCAACCAUAACAUGGCCGUUGAAACUGGAAGUCUUGAGUGUGUGAGAGGUAGGCGGAAUGCGUGGUGUAGCGGUGAAAUGCAUAGAUAUCACGCAGAACUCCGAUUGCGAAGGCAGCUUACUAGGCCAUAACUGACACUGAAGCACGAAAGCGUGGGGAUCAAACAGGAUUAGAUACCCUUGUAGUC